GCGAAAAAAAAAAGAAACCUGCACAAGUACUUAUCUACACGACUAUCCAAAAGACAAAAGGAAGUCAAAGAGGACAUUGAGGCUAUAAAGAAGUGCACGCAAAGGUCUGAUGAGGAACUGCAACAGUGGGUCAUUGAUGUGACACAGUGGGCAGUUGACACACCAGAUGACCUCAGAACAGAUGAUCCAGUGGCGUUGCAACAUCUGAUUGAAGGCCUAUUCUUGGGCAUCCAGCAGAAAAAGAGGAAUCUAUAUCGAGUAACCGACCGUAACAAACAGCGACACAAGAUCCGAAGCUGGAUUAGAGAGGAUAAGAAAAAGCUGUUUAAUGCCAUAUCCCAAUACAAUGAUCUUCCAACCACCACAGAAUCUGUAGAUUCAGUCGAAGACCUUCUGGCAACAGAAAGCCCUAUCUGGCCUUGGGAUUCUGAACCUGACACUUCCUUAGGCAUGAAGAAGAAGGUUUUUGACAAGGUGAUGCAGCUGGAGAGACUGAUUGAGGAAGAGGCUAUAAUUUUAGAGGAAAUGAAACAACAUUGGACUCAUCUUACAAGAACCUGCAGGGCCUUGAAGGACCAGGCUAAUGUACUAUCAGAUGACCUGGCCACACAGAACUACCCUUCAGGACUGUCUGGUCAAGCUUACCAUGGCCUGCACAGUGCUGUCCUCCAAAAAUGUGAGGAGCUCAAAACAGACCUGGUACCUGUGAAAGAAACCUACUCCCAAAUAGUGGUAAAUGGGAAUGGUGGAACUGUUGUUGAAGAAGAUGAAGACCCAUACGAGCAUGUCUCCACAGAUGCCUCUACAGAUGAUGAAUUAUAGAUUCUCUCUUCUCCACUGCACAAACUGGUCUCCUGACUCUGAGUAGCUCAAGUUAGCUCUCCCCAUUGUAAAUAAUAAAAACUUGAACCUGAAUUUUCUUUCA
ensembl:lncRNA uncharacterized LOC109059551